rfam:Lupinus angustifolius cultivar Tanjil contig_1837, whole genome shotgun sequence.
AGGUGCGAUUAUACCAGCACUAAUGCACUAGAUCCCUUCAGUACUCCGUUGUGAAGCGUGCUUGGGCGAGAGUAGUACUAGGAUGGGUGACCUCCUGGGAAGUCCUCAUGUUGCACCUC